rnacentral:rRNA from 1 species
AUGAACGCUGGCGGCGUACCUAAUACAUGCCGGUCGAGCGAACGGACGAGAAGCUUGCUUCUCUGAUGUUAGCGGCGGACGGGUGAGUAACACGUGGAUAACCUACCUAUAAGACUGGGAUAACUUCGGGAAACCGUAGCUAAUACCGGAUAAUAUUUUGAACCGCAUGGUUCAAAAGUGAAAGACGGUCUUGCUGUCACUUAUAGAUGGAUCCGCGCUGCAUUAGCUAGUUGGUAAGGUAACGGCUUACCAAGGCAACGAUGCAUAGCCGACCUGAGAGGGUGAUCGGCCACACUGGAACUGGGCCACGGUCCAAACUCCUACGGGGGGCCGCAGUAGGGAAUCUUCCGCAAUGGGCGAAAGCCUGACGGAGCAACCCCGCGGGGGUAAUAAAGGUCUUCGGAUCGUAAAACUCUUUUUUUAGGGAAGAACAUAUGUGUAAGUAACUGUGCCCAUUUUGCCGGUCCCUAAUCAAAAAGCCACGCCGACCUCCGU